UACGAAGGGGGCUAGCGUUGCUCGGAAUCACUGGGCGUAAAGGGCGCGUAGGCGGCCAUUCAAGUCGGGGGUGAAAGCCUGUGGCUCAACCACAGAAUUGCCUUCGAUACUGUUUGGCUUGAGACCGGAAGAGGUGAGUGGAACUGCGAGUGUAGAGGUGAAAUUCGUAGAUAUUCGCAAGAACACCAGUGGCGAAGGCGGGUCUCUGGGCAAUUCCUGGACGCUGAGGCGCGAAAGCGUGGGGAGCAAACGGG
rnacentral:rRNA from 1 species